rnacentral:snoRNA from 1 species
AGUCUCCAGUGUUGCACCUGGAGAGUUUCCAGUCCUCUACCAGUCCCAACUAUGGGAGGGAGAGUCAAGCAGAGGCCUACCCAUUCCAUUCCUAGCUUGGUCAGUGGCUAGCUAGUGGAAGGCCAUCUGUUACAAGU